rnacentral:tRNA from 1 species
ACCUGGCUGGCUCAGUUGGUAGAGCAUGUGACUCUUAAUCUCAGGGUAAUGAGUUCAAGCCCCACACUGGGUG